CGGUGGCAUUGGACGGCCCUCGGCGGACGGCACGACACUCCUCCGCCGCCCGGUUUCCACAAAUCCCUUCAUUCAACUGGAAUGUUUUCUUUUAUUCUAUCUAGACGGUAAGGUUUAGGAUCCAGCUUCACCAUACUAGCGUAAAGUAGUGCAAUUUUCUCAGUCAUGCUGAGUGGAGUCUGAGGCACUUCGGGGCCAACGCAAGAUGAUGCCAGGACCAGACCAGCCACAAUCAACAAUCUAAAGCCCAAAUCUGAGUUGUGUUGUGUUAACCUGGAGAUGGAGUGCACCAUCAGUUGUAUAUUCCUACAAUUCUCCCUCAAAGCGAUAAUCGCCCCGAUUCAACAGGUGGCAACUCCCUUCCUUUGCCGGACAUUAUGCCAAACUAGGCUUCCAAACCAAGUGUGUCCAUUCGGCGCCACAAGUGCACCACGAAUUUGCCUACUG